rnacentral:rRNA from 1 species
AACGAACGCUGGCGGCAUGCCUAACACAUGCAAGUCGAACGAGACCUUCGGGUCUAGUGGCGCACGGGUGCGUCACGCGUGGGAACCUGCCCUUAGGUUCGGAAUAACUCUCCGAAAGGGGUGCUAAUACCGGAUAAUGUCUUCGGACCAAAGAUUUAUCGCCUUUGGAUGGGCCCGCGUUGGAUUAGCUAGUUGGUAGGGUAAAAGCCUACCAAGGCGACGAUCCAUAGCUGGUCUGAGAGGAUGAUCAGCCACACUGGGACUGAGACACGGCCCAGACUCCUACGGGAGGCAGCAGUGGGUAAUAUUGGACAAUGGGCGAAAGCCUGAUCCAGCAAUGCCGCGUGAGUGAUGAAGGCCUGAGGGUUGUAAAGCUCUUUUACCCGGGAUGAUAAUGACAGUACCGGGAGAAUAAGCUCCGGCUAACUCCGUG